GUUAAAAUAGCUUAAUGAGAGCAAAGCAUUGAAGCUGCUAUGGUGACAGUCAUGUCUUUUAACA
rnacentral:tRNA from 1 species